UAUUCAUCAAAGAUCUGUUGUUGAAAUGAACAGGAAAACGACGAUAGAUUUUCAAGGUUGUUAUGAAAGAUGACAAUUUUAUUCAUUUACGUCAUUUUGAAACAUAGAAUACGUCAUUUUGAAUAUUCACUUAAAGAACUAUCUCGUGUAUCAAAUAUGGAUGCAAACAAAUGGGAAGAAUGCCCAACCUUUUCCGAAUUGUUUUGUGCAAUAAAAGAUUACCUUAUGAAACGUUUUGAGAAAAAUGAAUUUAUUAACUCUACCCCUGUAAUCCAAUAUAUUUACAAUAUUACUCUCAUUGAUAUAUUUUGUGUUAUUCUUUUCUCAUUCGGCUGGAGUUAUUUGAGAAAACUUUUGAUAGAAAAAUAUUUUAAGCCGCUUGAUUGCCAUUUUACCCUCACUCCAACAGAAGAUGCCAGGAAGUGCCAGCAAGUAUUUUAUUAGUUACUUGGAUCUUUAAUUUAUAUAUGAUAGUAUUAAGUGAUAAAUACGGACUUUUAAAAAAGCCAAGAAAUUGGCCGGUAAGAUAAAUAACUCUAUAGUUGCUUUUAAGCAAAUUAAAGUAAUUAAUGUAUAUUUACUUCUUUGUUAUUUGGAUUUUGAUUGAAAGAAUAAUUAAUUAAUAAGAGCUAAAUAUUUUCGAUUUGUUUUUUUCCCCGCAAUAUGUCUCAAUACACAGAAAGGGAAGUAAACAUUAAGCCGACUAAGAUUUUGACAGCUCUCCAAGUCGAGAGUGUUAAGACCAUAUUUUCUAGAUUGCGGCUACUUGAUGUUCUUUAUGUUCAAAAAUCCGUAAAAGAAAGAUAUGUUUAUUCAAAAGAAGUAAAAUUUUUGUAUCCGUUUCCGAAACUGAAUUAAUAAUUAGCACUAAUUAAUUGAAAUAUUUGAGAUCGCUCUUUCAAACUAAUAAGACUGACAUUCAGUUUGUGUCAAUUCGAUUAUUAGAACUAACGAUAUUUAGGUUAAUAUCUCCUUUAUUUUGCGCCCUGUACGUUAUGUAAAUAAAAUAUAAAAAUAAAAAAAUGCAACCACCUUAAAGUCUAAACACCUUAGAAAUUUUUUAUCUAAUGAUCAGAAUUUCACCUAUUAGAAUGGUUUCAAAACUUCUAUGGUUCCAAAGCUUAACUUUGAACAUGAGAAUUAAUUAGUAUAAGAGAUAUUCUUAGUUCGAAAACAGACGUAAAAACGUAUUUUUUUUUUUUUUUUUUUUUU